UCUGUCAGCUGAACAUCUUAUCCAACAAAUCUAGCAAAUACACCUAUUUUAGUGCGAAGACUUCUCAGUUAGACAAUGCAGUCUAAGUGAUAAGCACUGGCGACCUGUCCAGGUUAUACCCCGCCUAUCACCCAAUGCUUGAUUGGGAUCAGGAAGGCCAUCCUGAUCACAGAAGGUCCUUCUCAUCCCCUCCAUGAAUCAUUCCAGCUGCUCCCAUCAGGACCCGUCCACCCCUCCCACCUCCUGUCUCUCACAGGAUCUGCUCUACCGGGAAUGCUUUGGAUGAGAGGAAGCUGAAACAACAAGGAGGCUUUUGACUCCCAUCGGUGUGCUGCAGACUUCUUCACACCAGAGGCAGAGAAGCAGGUGGAACAACUUACAGAGGUUCAACAACUUCCAGCUCCCAGGAGGAAGUGACACAGUGCCCCACAGAGUUUGUGAUCUCAUUAGCCACAGUACACCUGAACACCAAACAUAUGGAGGGCCACCAGGACAGCAAAUCAUUCAUCCACUGUCUUCUGCUUAUCCGAGAUCAAUCCUGGAGGAUUGGAGGCUCAGAAAGAAAGUUCUGGGUCUGCCUAAGGGUCUCCUGCCUGUAAGUGGCAUAUGUUGGAAAACAUCCAAAGGGAGACAUCCAGGAGCCAGCCUAAUCAGAUGAACCGCCAUAGAUGACUCUUUUAGAUGUGGAGGAACAGCGACACUAUUCUUGAGAUGCAACAGGGUGACGACACCUAGUCUGUCCAUGCUUCAGGCUUCAUCCCAAUUUACAGACAUGGGGACUUUUUAAAAUAAUCAUGAAAAGAUGCUUUUGCAUUAUUAACGUGCAGUUCUGUUUGCAUUAAUGAGCUCACAGGGAGAAAAGUUAGGUCCCAUAAAAACACAAGUGUGCAGGAAAAGCUCAGGCAAGCACACUAAUGUUCCUUCUGUUUAACCACUUUAAGUGAGCUUCAUCCAAACACAUGUGAUUGGCAGGUAGGAGUCCAUACACGUCACAGCAUCAGGACCGCUCCCUUUUUACAUAACCUAAAGAAGCUCCAGAAGUUUUUCCUUCCCACCAUAAACAAGGUCUGCCUCCGUCAAUAUCAUUCCUUCUUAUAUGUACCAAUUAAAGGCACCCAUGUUAUCCAAGCUGAAGAUGUGAGUGUGGAUUUGAUUUGCUGACAACAUACUUUACAAAUGCUUAUCUAAUAAAUCCAAGAAUAAAAGGUCUGCAUCUGGAAAAUCUGGCACCUUCUAUGUUUUAGAGGUCCACACCUCAAGCCAGGUGGUCGAUGUUGUUCAGAACUUCUUCCAUGAUUUCAUGUUCAUUCUUAAUGCAUUCCCCUUCUACAAACGGUGUUGAUCAGCCAUUGCUGUAAUGAAAACACUUGUGGUAUGAUGCCUCUUACCUGCGUACAUUUUAGCACUUUAACAACUUUUUGACAAGACAAGAUGCAUAUUCUGCAUGUUGUUUGGUUAGAGCAAUGAAGGAAAUGUAAAUUAAACCCUUUAAUUAAUUUCUGAUUGCAGGCUUCUUGUUGCAGCAUUUGUAGAUGCAUUGUUUAAAGAAUAAGUUGUAAGAAACAUGUACUGGAAUCUCUCUGUUGAAAGGGGUGGUUAUGGUUUACAUUAACGUGUUCCUGCUUGCUCAUGAAAAACAGGCCUGUACGGAGACGAAGUUUAAACUUUCCAACAAUAUGUUAUUUUUCCUUUUUUCUCCCUUUGGAUAAUUUAAAUGGUUUACCGUAAUUUUUAUUUUUGUUUUGCAAACCUGGUUGUUUUCUUGUUUGGUUUUUAGUUUUUUUGUUUGAUUUAGUUAAUGCAUACAG